CACGUAGUUAGCCGGAGCUUAUUCAACAGGUACCGUCAUUUUUUUCUUUCCUGUUAAAAGCAGUUUACAAUCCGAAAACCUUCUUCCUGCACGCGGCGUCACUGCGUCAGAGUUUCCUCCAUUGCGCAAUAUUCCCGACUGCUGCCUCCCGUAGGAGUCUGGGCCGUAUCUCAGUCCCAAUGUGGCCGUUCAACCCCUCAGUCCGGCUACUGAUCAUCGUCUUGGUAGGCCGUUACCCCACCAACUAACUAAUCAGACGCAAGCCCAUCUAUUAACGGAUUACUCCUUUCCUGCUUGUAUCAUGCGAUACUCACAGCAUAUGCGGUAUUAGCAACGAUUUCUCGCUGUUAUUCCCCUCUAAUAGGCAGGUUGCUUACGUGUUACUCACCAGUCCGCCACUAACCGCUUUAAGAGCAAGCUCUCAAUUAAGUUCGUUCGACUUGCAUGUCUUAUGUGCGCCGCCAGCGUUUUAUCCUGAGCCAGGAUCAAACUCU
rnacentral:rRNA from 1 species